rnacentral:rRNA from 1 species
UACGGAGGGUGCAAGCGUUGUCCGGAAUCACUGGGCGUAAAGGGCGCGUAGGCGGCUCAUGAAGGCUGUGGUGAAAGUCCGGGGCUCAACCUCGGAUCGGCCGUGGCGACUCGUGGGCUGGAGCACUGGAGAGGCGGGUGGAAUUCCGGGUGUAGCGGUGGAAUGCGUAGAGAUCCGGAAGAACACCAGUGGCGAAGGCGGCCCGCUGGGCAGUGGCUGACGCUGAGGCGCGACAGCGUGGGGAGCAAACAGG